rnacentral:rRNA from 1 species
GACGAACGCUGGCGGCUGUGCUUAACACAUGCAAGUCGAACGGAAAGGCCCUGCUUUUGUGGGGUGCUCGAGUGGCGAACGGGUGAGUAACACGUGAGUAACCUGCCCUUGACUUUGGGAUAACUUCAGGAAACUGGGGCUAAUACCGGAUAGGAGCUCCUGCUGCAUGGUGGGGGUUGGAAAGUUUCGGCGGUUGGGGAUGGACUCGCGGCUUAUCAGCUUGUUGGUGGGGUAGUGGCUUACCAAGGCUUUGACGGGUAGCCGGCCUGAGAGGGUGACCGGCCACAUUGGGACUGAGAUACGGCCCAGACUCCUACGGGAGGCAGCAGUGGGGAAUAUUGCACAAUGGGCGGAAGCCUGAUGCAGCAACGCCGCGUGCGGGAUGACGGCCUUCGGGUUGUAAACCGCUUUCGCCUGUGACGAAGCGUGAGUGACGGUAAUGGGUAAAGAAGCACCGGCUAACUACGUGCCAGCAGCCGCGGUGAUACGUAGGGUGCGAGCGUUGUCCGGAUUUAUUGGGCGUAAAGGGCUCGUAGGUGGUUGAUCGCGUCGGAAGUGUAAUCUUGGGGCUUAACCCUGAGCGUGCUUUCGAUACGGGUUGACUUGAGGAAGGUAGGGGAGAAUGGAAUUCCUGGUGGAGCGGUGGAAUGCGCAGAUAUCAGGAGGAACACCAGUGGCGAAGGCGGUUCUCUGGGCCUUUCCUGACGCUGAGGAGCGAAAGCGUGGGGAGCGAACAGGCUUAGAUACCCUGGUAGUCCACGCUGUAAACGGUGGGUACUAGGUGUGGGGUCCAUUCCACGGGUUCCGUGCCGUAGCUAACGCUUUAAGUACCCCGCCUGGGGAGUACGGCCGCAAGGCUAAAACUCAAAGGAAUUGACGGGGCCCCGCACAAGCGGCGGAGCAUGCGGAUUAAUUCGAUGCAACGCGUAGAACCUUACCUGGGUUUGACAUGGAUCGGGAGUGCUCAGAGAUGGGUGUGCCUCUUUUGGGGUCGGUUCACAGGUGGUGCAUGGCUGUCGUCAGCUCGUGUCGUGAGAUGUUGGGUUAAGUCCCGCAACGAGCGCAACCCUUGUUCACUGUUGCCAGCACGUUAUGGUGGGGACUCAGUGGAGACCGCCGGGGUCAACUCGGAGGAAGGUGGGGAUGACGUCAAGUCAUCAUGCCCCUUAUGUCCAGGGCUUCACGCAUGCUACAAUGGCUGGUACAGAGAGUGGCGAGCCUGUGAGGGUGAGCGAAUCUCGGAAAGCCGGUCUCAGCUCGGACAGGGGUCUGCAACUCGACCUCAGGAAGUCGGAGUCGAUACGUAAUCGCAGAUCAGCAACGCUGCGGAGAAUGCGUUCCCGGG